rnacentral:rRNA from 1 species
UACGUAGGGACCAAGCGUUGUUCGGAUUUAUUGGGCGUAAAGGGCUCGUAGGCGGUUUGUCGCGUCGGGAGUGAAAACACCGGGCUUAACUCGGUGCUUGCUUUCGAUACGGGCAGACUGGAGGUAUGCAGGGGAGAACGGAAUUCCUGGUGUAGCGGUGAAAUGCGCAGAUAUCAGGAGGAACACCGGUGGCGAAGGCGGUUCUCUGGGCAUUACCUGACGCUGAGGAGCGAAAGUGUGGGGAGCGAACAGG